AAAUUGAAGAGUUUGAUCAUGGCUCAGAUUGAACGCUGGCGGCAGGCCUAACACAUGCAAGUCGAACGGUAACAGGAAGCAGCUUGCUGCUUCGCUGACGAGUGGCGGACGGGUGAGUAAUGUCUGGGAAACUGCCUGAUGGAGGGGGAUAACUACUGGAAACGGUGGCUAAUACCGCAUAACGUCGCAAGACCAAAGAGGGGGACCUUCGGGCCUCUUGCCAUCAGAUGUGCCCAGAUGGGAUUAGCUGGUUGGUGAGGUAACGGCUCACCAAGG
rnacentral:rRNA from 1 species